UGAUAAGGGGUGUUCACUUUCCACUAUAAAUUUGCUUUCCAACUGUACUUCUAAAGUUCAUGCCAUGUCAAACGAUUGCGCGAAGGGAUCUCAUCCCAUCAGCAAUUAUAAUUCUAAAGCUUAGUGAUUGAUGUUGGUCCUUCCUACUUCCUCAUUGCACCUUAGAAAUCAUUGGUAAACUUAUGGGGUGUCAAGUCAAGGGAACAAUUAUAACAGACAAGUUAUCAUGGCUGCCUUUCUCAUAUGCAGUAUUUAUAAUACACUCUGCCAAUGAGGUUGAAGACAGGCAUGAGAAUGGCAUCUUUGAAUCUUCACUUCCUUGGAAAUGUGAAUUCCAUUGAAAAAUCAGAUUACCAAUAUCCUGUGGCGUCAAGCUCUCAAAUAUGCCAUCAGAUGCAACCACCAAAUGCGUAUCAUUAGUAGUUAAAGGCCUCCAACCUGUAUACUCGGGCUCAGCUAUAACGCCAUACCUUUUCAGAUAUACAUCACCAAUGGAACGAGACAUGGCAAGCACUCCACUGACUCGAGGCACACCCCAGUUAGUGACAGAACCACCAGCUGCUUCAAUUCGAGCUCUUUCAUCUUCUCUGUCUGGAUGAUGAUCAUAUGUUAAUGCUGUUGCCGAUAGAUGAGCUGUUGAAUCACCUACCAUUUCAUCAAAAGUACAAUUAAGCAUCUCAUCUCACAGAUGUUAUAAGAUCAGCCUAAAUUUCAUAUGCAUGUAGGUCAUUGGUCUAUGCAGUUCUGCCAACAAAUACAAGCAUUCUUUAACUUAGGCAGAGGAAAUAGAGAGAAAGGGAAAUGAAAAAAGAAAAAAAGAAAGAUUUAGACCUUCAGUCCUCAGAGCAGACUGAAUUUUCUCCGAUAAAAGAAGAGCCUUCGAGUCACCGACAUUGGCAACUAAAAUUUGCCGACCAUACAAAAGAACAACAGUGGCAGUGGAGCCAGAGAAAAAGUUAUUUUUAAUAGCUUCCUGAAGUAUAGAAUGAAGCACAAACAAUGUUAUGACUUUGGAGGAAUGAGUACUGGAAAAUUAGAGUGAAAUAAAUUUGAAGCCAGUAGAAGUCUAGAACAAGUCACUACUUGCCUGAGAAAACCUGAGAUCAAUGUCACCAAUUGUCUUGGAUAAUGCUUCUUUAAGAAUUUCCAGCUGAAAUGAUUUAUAAUCGCUUGAGGGUAACACCCCAUUAUGAUAUGCCAUUACCUUGUAUGAUUGGAACACAACAUGCAGGUAAAAGUAAUCAAAAAGAAGUUUUGAAGCCAUCUCACUACAUUCCUUUCCACCAUGGCCAUCAAAUACUGCUACAAUUCCAACUGCUUCCUCCUCAAACUCAUUUUUGCCAGCAUC
rnacentral:misc_RNA from 1 species